GAUGAACGCUAGCGGGAGGCUUAACACAUGCAAGUCGAGGGGCAUCACGAGAUAGCAAUAUUUUGGUGGCGACCGGCGCACGGGUGAGUAACGCGUAUGUAACCUACCCUGUACAGGGGGAUAGCCCGGAGAAAUUCGGAUUAAUACCCCAUAAUGAUAUUUUGAGGCAUCUCAGGAUAUUUAAAGCUUCGGCGGUACGGGAUGGGCAUGCGUGACAUUAGCUAGUUGGUAAGGUAACGGCUUACCAAGGCUUCGAUGUCUAGGGGUCCUGAGAGGGUGAUCCCCCACACUGGUACUGAGACACGGACCAGACUCCUACGGGUGCAG
rnacentral:rRNA from 1 species